rnacentral:rRNA from 1 species
AACGAACGCUGGCGGCAUGCCUAACACAUGCAAGUCGAACGAGACCUUCGGGUCUAGUGGCGCACGGGUGCGUAACGCGUGGGAACCUGCCCUUAGGUUCGGAAUAACUCCCCGAAAGGGGUGCUAAUACCGGAUAAUGUCUUCGGACCAAAGAUUUAUCGCCUUUGGAUGGGCCCGCGUUGGAUUAGCUAGUUGGUAGGGUAAAAGCCUACCAAGGCGACGAUCCAUAGCUGGUCUGAGAGGAUGAUCAGCCACACUGGGACUGAGACACGGCCCAGACUCCUACGGGAGGCAGCAGUGGGGAAUAUUGGACUAUGGGCGAAAGCCUGAUCCAGCAAUGCCGCGUGAGUGAUGAAGGCCGUAGGGUUGUAAAGCUCUUUUACCCGGGAUGAUAAUGACAGUACCGGGAGAAUAAGCUCCGGCUAACUCCGUG